GAUCAAGCGACUAAGUGCAUGUGGUGGAUGCCUUGGCGAUCACAGGCGACGAAGGACGUGCAAGCCUGCGAAAAGCCCCGGGGAGUUGGCAAAGGAACAUUGAUCCGGGGAUGUCCGAAUGGGGAAACCCACCCGCAAGGGUAUCUCACGCUGAAUCCAUAGGCGUGCAGAGGCGAACGCAGCGAACUGAAACAUCUAAGUAGCUGCAGGAACAGAAAUCAACCGAGAUUCCCAAAGUAGUGGCGAGCGAACUGGGAGUAGCCUGUACGAGCAAACCGACGAACUAGCAGAAGGGCCUGGAAAGGCCGGCCAUAGUGGGUGAUAGCCCCGUAUGCGAAAGUUGGUCGGCGGGUCUGAGCGUACGACAAGUAGGGCGGGACACGUGAAAUCCUGUCUGAAGAUGGGGGGACCAUCCUCCAAGGCUAAAUACUCGUGAUCGACCGAUAGUGAACCAGUACCGUGAGGGAAAGGCGAAAAGAACCCCGGGAGGGGAGUGAAAUAGAUCCUGAAACCGCAUGCAUACAAACAGUCGGAGCGCCUUGCUUCAAGCGUCAACGGCUUGAAGCAAGGCUCUGAAGACAGAAGACGGAAGACAGAAGACAGUAAAGUUGGCGCGCCUGCAAGGCGCGCAGCUUGAACAGUCCUCAGUCCUCAGUCGUCAGUCCUCUGAGCCUUGCUUCAAGACCCGAUGGGUCUUGAAGCAAGGCGUGACGGCGUACCUUUUGUAUAAUGGGUCAGCGACUUACGUUAUGUUGCGAGCUUAACCGAAUAGGGGAGGCGAAGCGAAAGCGAGUCUGAAUAGGGCGACAAGUAGCAUGGCGUAGACCCGAAACCGGAUGAUCUACCCAUGGCCAGGAUGAAGGUUGGGUAACACCAGCUGGAGGUCCGAACCCACUAGUGUUGAAAAACUAGGGGAUGAGCUGUGGGUAGGGGUGAAAGGCUAAACAAAUCCGGAAAUAGCUGGUUCUCCCCGAAAACUAUUGAGGUAGUGCCUCAUGUAUCACUGCCGGGGGUAGAGCACUGUAAUGGUUGGGGGGGUCACUGCGAUCUACCCCGCCAUAGCAAACUCCGAAUACCGGCAAGUGCGAGCAUGGGAGACAGUCCGUGGGUGCUAACGUCCAUGGACAAGAGGGAAACAACCCAGACCGCCAGCUAAGGUCCCGAAUGACGUGCUAAGUGGAAAACGAAGUGGGAAGGCUUAGACAGCCAGGAGGUUGGCUUAGAAGCAGCCAUCCUUUAAAGAAAGCGUAAUAGCUCACUGGUCGAGUCGUCCUGCGCGGAAGAUGUAACGGGGCUAAGCACGUAACCGAAGCUGCGGGUUUCAGAGGACAGAUGACAGAAGACAGAAGACAGAGGGGAAUUCAGUGCACAGUAGUCAGAAAACAGCAGCGCCCGGGCCGGCGAUACGCGACGUGGAAGAUUUGGUCGUGUAUCGGAAAGCCUACGCAAUCUCGCUCGAAAUCCAUCGAAUCAGCCUGGAACUGCCGCAGUUCGAGCAGUUUGCCCUGGCCGACCAGAUGCGGCGAGCGUCCAAAUCGAUUUGCGCCAACCUGGCCGAAGGAUUCGGCCGGCAAGGGGUAUCGAAGGCCGAAUUCAAACGCUUCAUACUGAUGGCGAUGGGUUCGGCAGACGAAAUGCGGGUAUGGGUAAGCUACUGCAAAGACCUGGGCUAUAUCCAGGCCGCCAAAGCGCAAGCGUGGCGGCAGGAAUACCAGGACAUCGCCAAAAUGCUGGCCGGCCUGCACGCGAAGUGGGGCUAGCGAGCAAGAAGUGGCGAGCGAACCGACUACUGAACACUGAAAUCCCCUCUGUCCUCAGUCUUCUGUCCUCUGUCCUCUGAAGCGGUAGGGGAGCGUUCGGUAAGCCUGUGAAGGCGCAUCGAGAGGUGUGCUGGAGGUAUCCGAAGUGCGAAUGCUGACAUGAGUAGCGAUAAAACGGGUGAAAAGCCCGUUCGCCGAAAGCCCAAGGUUUCCUACGCAACGUUCAUCGGCGUAGGGUGAGUCGGCUCCUAAGGCGAGGCCGAAAGGCGUAGUCGAUGGGAAACAGGUCAAAAUUCCUGUACCUGUUCUGAGUGCGAUGAGGGGACGGAGAAGGCUACAGCAGCCGGGUGUUGGACGUCCCGGUUUAAGCGUGUAGGCAUGCCUGCCAGGCAAAUCCGGCGGGCUAAGCCAAGGCGUGAUGACGAGGCUCCACGUGAGCCGAAGUGCUGGAUGCCACGCUUCCAGGAAAAGCCUCUAAGCUUCAGCUCAGAAUAGACCGUACCGCAAACCGACACAGGUAGGCAGGAUGAAAAUUCCAAGGCGCUUGAGAGAACUCAGGAGAAGGAACUCGGCAAAUUGAUACCGUAACUUCGGGAGAAGGUAUGCCCCUGUAGGUUGUAGCGCCUCGCGCGCGAAGGCCGAAGGGGUCGCAGAGAAUCGGUGGCUGCGACUGUUUAAUAAAAACACAGCACUCUGCCAACACGAAAGUGGACGUAUAGGGUGUGACGCCUGCCCGGUGCCGGAAGGUUAAGUGAUGGGGUGCAAGCUCUUGAU
rnacentral:rRNA from 1 species